rnacentral:rRNA from 1 species
CGGGACACGUGGUAUCCUGUCUGAAUAUGGGGGGACCAUCCUCCAAGGCUAAAUACUCCUGACUGACCGAUAGUGAACCAGUACCGUGAGGGAAAGGCGAAAAGAACCCCGGCGAGGGGAGUGAAAAAGAACCUGAAACCGUGUACGUACAAGCAGUGGGAGCACGCUUAGGCGUGUGACUGCGUACCUUUUGUAUAAUGGGUCAGCGACUUAUAUUCUGUAGCAAGGUUAACCGAAUAGGGGAGCCGAAGGGAAACCGAGUCUUAACUGGGCGUUAAGUUGCAGGGUAUAGACCCGAAACCCGGUGAUCUAGCCAUGGGCAGGUUGAAGGUUGGGUAACACUAACUGGAGGACCGAACCGACUAAUGUUGAAAAAUUAGCGGAUGACUUGUGGCUGGGGGUGAAAGGCCAAUCAAACCGGGAGAUAGCUGGUUCUCCCCGAAAGCUAUUUAGGUAGCGCCUCGUGAAUUCAUCUCCGGGGGUAGAGC